rnacentral:rRNA from 1 species
UGGGGAAUAUUGGACAAUGGGCGCAAGCCUGAUCCAGCCAUGCCGCGUGAGUGAUGAAGGCCUUAGGGUUGUAAAGCUCUUUCGCACGCGACGAUGAUGACGGUAGCGUGAGAAGAAGCCCCGGCUAACUUCGUGCCAGCAGCCGCGGUAAUACGAAGGGGGCAAGCGUUGUUCGGAAUUACUGGGCGUAAAGCGCACGCAGGCGGUUGUUCUAGUUAGAAGUGAAAGCCCCGGGCUCAACCUGGGAACUGCUUUUAAUACUGGACAGCUAGAAUUAUGGAGAGGGUAACGGAAUUCCGAGUGUAGAGGUGAAAUUCGUAGAUAUUCGGAAGAACACCAGCGGCGAAGGCGGUUACCUGGCCAUUUAUUGACGCUCAUGUGCGAAAGCGUGGGGAGCAAACAGG